rnacentral:rRNA from 1 species
UAGAGUUUGAUCCUGGCUCAGAACGAACGCUGGCGGCAUGCCUAACACAUGCAAGUCGAACGAAGGCUUCGGCCUUAGUGGCGCACGGGUGCGUAACGCGUGGGGAUCUGCCCUUUGCUUCGGAAUAACAGUUAGAAAUGACUGCUAAUACCGGAUGAUGUCGUAAGACCAAAGAUUUAUCGGCAAAGGAUGAACCCGCGUAGGAUUAGCUAGUUGGUGGGGUAAAGGCCUACCAAGGCGACGAUCCUUAGCUGGUCUGAGAGGAUGAUCAGCCACACUGGGACUGAGACACGGCCCAGACUCCUACGGGAGGCAGCAGUGGGGAAUAUUGGACAAUGGGCGAAAGCCUGAUCCAGCAAUGCCGCGUGAGUGAUGAAGGCCUUCGGGUUGUAAAGCUCUUUUACCAGGGAUGAUAAUGACAGUACCUGGAGAAUAAGCUCCGGCUAACUCCGUGCCAGCAGCCGCGGUAAU